AACGAACGCUGGCGGCAGGCCUAACACAUGCAAGUCGAGCGAGGACUUCGGUUCUAGCGGCGGACGGGUGAGUAACGCGUGGGAAUGUGCCCUUCUCUACGGAAUAGCCCUGGGAAACUGGGAGUAAUACCGUAUACGCCCUCUUGGGGAAAGAUUUAUCGGAGAAGGUUCAGCCCGCGUUGGAUUAGGUAGUUGGUGGGGUAAUGGCCUACCAAGCCGACGAUCCAUAGCUGGUUUGAGAGGAUGAUCAGCCACACUGGGACUGAGACACGGCCCAGACUCCUACGGGAGGCAGCAGUGGGGAAUCUUAGACAAUGGGGGCAACCCUGAUCUAGCCAUGCCGCGUGAGUGAUGAAGGCCUUAGGGUUGUAAAGCUCUUUCAGCUGGGAAGAUAAUGACGGUACCAGCAGAAGAAGCCCCGGCUAACUCCGUG
rnacentral:rRNA from 1 species